GAUGAACGCUGGCGGCGUGCCUAAUACAUGCAAGUCGAGCGAACGGACGAGAAGCUUGCUCUUCUGAUGUUAGCGGCGGACGGGUGAGUAACACGUGGAUAACCUACCUAUAAGACUGGGAUAACUUCGGGAAACCGGAGUUAAUACCGGAUAAUAUUUUGAACCGCAUGGUUCAAAAGUGAAAGACGGUCUUGCUGUCACUUAUAGAUGGAUCCGCGCUGCAUUAGCUAGUUGGUAAGGUAACGGCUUACCAAGGCAACGAUGCAUAGCCGACCUGAGAGGGUGAUCGGCCACACUGGAACUGAGACACGGUCCAGACUCCUACGGGAGGCAGCAGUAGGGAAUCUUCCGCAAUGGGCGAAGGCCUGACGGAGCAACGCCGCGUGAGUGAUGAAGGUCUUCGGAUCGUAAAACUCUGUUAUUAGGGAAGAACAUAUGUGUAAGUAACUGUGUACAUCUUGACGGUACCUAAUCAGAAAGCCACGGCUAACUACGUG
rnacentral:rRNA from 1 species